rnacentral:rRNA from 1 species
AGUGGCGGACGGGUGAGUAACGCGUGGGUAACCUGCCUCAUACAGGGGAGUAACAGUUAGAAAUGACUGCUAAUACCGCAUAAGACCACGGAGCCGCAUGGCUCAGUGGGAAAAACUCCGGUGGUAUGAGAUGGACCCGCGUCUGAUUAGGUAGUUGGUGGGGUAACGGCCUACCAAGCCAACGAUCAGUAGCCGACCUGAGAGGGUGACCGGCCACAUUGGGACUGAGACACGGCCCAA